rnacentral:rRNA from 1 species
GACGAACGCUGGCGGCGGGCUUAACACAUGCAAGUCGAACGGAAGGGCCCUGCUUUUGUGGGGUGCUCGAGUGGCGAACGGGUGAGUAACACGUGAGUCACCUGCCCUUGACUUUGGGAUAACUUCAGGAAACUGCGGCUACUACCGGAUAGGAGAGCCUGCUGGAUGGGGGGGGUCGGACAGUUUCGGCGGUUGUGGAUGGACGUGCGGUUUAUCAGCUGGCUGGUGGAGGAGUGGCCUAGCAGGCCUUUGACGGGUAGCCGGCCUGGGAGGGUGACCAGCCUCCAUGCGACUGAGAUACGGCCCAGUCGCCUACGUUAGGCAGCAGUGGGGAACAUUGCACAAUGGUCGGGAGCCUGAUGCAGCGACGCUCCGUGCGUGAUGACGUCCUUCUUGUUGUAAACCGCAUUCGCCUGUGACGUAGCUUGAGUGACGUUAAUAGGUAAAGAAGCACCGGCUAACUACGUG